rnacentral:misc_RNA from 1 species
GAUGAAGAACGUAGUGAAAUGCGAUACUUGGUGUGAAUUGCAGAAUCCCGUGAACCAUCGAGUCUUUGAACGCAAGUUGCGCCCGAAGCCAUCAGGUUGAGGGCACGUCUGCCUGGGCGUCACAUAUCGUUGCCCAAUGCCUAUUGCAGUGCAAUAGGAAUUUCUAGGGCGAAUGAUGGCUUCCCGUGAGCGUUGUUGCCUCGCGGUUGGUUGAAAAUCGAGUCCUUGGUAGGGUGUGCCAUGGUAGAUGGUGGUCGAGUUAGAACGAUACCGAUCAUGUGCAUGCUCCCCAAAAUAUGGCCUCUAUGACCCACACGCGUCUUUUGACGCUCAUGACGAGACCUCAGGUCAGGCGGGGCUACCCGCUGAAUUUAAGCAUAUCAAUAACGGAGGA